CGUGCCAGCGUCCAGGCGGGAGAGUCACGGUUAGUGGCUAGCUGGGCCUGGGCCGGGCUGCCAGGUCACCAGGGGACACUGUGUGGCGAGUACAGAGCGCACUGGAUGUCCUCUUUCAUGCACAAUCUUGCUGAGUCCUUCAGCAGGAACCGGCAAAAGCGUUAACAGCGCCCGGAGACCAGACGCCUCCUUCUUCCUGCAGCGUCUCUUCAGCGCUCUCUACCGGUUAAGCUUAACAUUGCGCUCAACCUGAAGAAAUGCUGGAGACACCACCAGUCCAUUGGGAGUUGAAAAAGAACAAAGCGCAGUUUGAGGUUCAGUAAUGUGAUAUCCAGUUACCCAAGUGAGCCAUGGAUACCAGUAAGAAACAGAGGCGCCUACCUCACCUCACACCUUUGUCCCUGAAUUGGAGCAGAAGAGUUUCAACAAUACCACGUCUGGGGCUGGUGCUAACAUCUGUCUCUGUGAAUGUGCUGGCUGUGGAAACUCACUGUUUAUGCAAAGAAAUCCAGACUCUUCAUAGCAAGCCAGACACAGGUGCUAUCACUGGCAAAUUAUCCUAUUAUCCAAUUCCUCCAUAUGCUUUCUGAGGGAAAAUAAACCAGUUUCAGAGAUCUUUAACUCUUGUUAUCAGUACUCGGUCACAGGAACAGAGCAAGCAAACAAACGUAAAACAUCUUCCUAAAGGCAAGUUCUUCAUUUCACAUGUAACUUAACAGGUUACACUGGUUCAUAAUGUUAGACUGCCAAGAUGGCUAGAAUAUAACCCUUCUAUCAAGACCUUGCAAGGACUGCCUUUAGAAGAUGAAGGAAGAGAUUUCCAAAUCAUGGUGCUGGUGUCUGGGGAUUUCUGUUUCCAGCAAACGCGAACAGUCACCAUCACCUCUACCCUUCAUGUGCUGGACAGGGAUGACGUAAAGGAAACAAGCUUGAUUCCUUCUCCAAGUGGCUAAGUGUCCUCAUUUUGAAAAGUACCAGGACAGCUGUGUGAGUUGCUCAGCCUAUGAGUUUAGUCAAGAGCAAGGACAGGAUAUGAAGAAGUAAAACCUUGCCCUAGAGAAAGAGUAAAGAACAGAAGACCACCACAAAAGGAAGGAGACACAUUUCACAAUGUUGCUAAUAAACAGGCUCUUAGAGCAAAGCUUAUGAUAAUUCCUUGCAUUGGAAGACAAACUCUCCAAAUAAAUGAACUCUUGGGAACUAAGUUUUUAUUUCUCACACCAUUUUAUUUUACACUCAUGGACCACACACUAGCUGAGAACAGUCCUCCUUUUCUCUUUCAAAAGGCAGCAACCUGAAUACACGUGUGCCUUGUAAGCAUAGA